UCGAUUAUUGUUGGUAAAAUAACAAUGGAAUCUACGAGGAAAAUCAAAAUUGAAAUUUAAUUUUUAAGAUUAUUAAACUUUUUUUGCCCCGUGGGCAUUAAGAGGCCUAUUUCAAGUCCAUCGUGGAUUCGCCUGGGCCCACAACGGGCGACCGGAUGGCAAGAGACGAGUUUGAAAUAUUCGGGAUAGACCACCACCGAAUAAUUCCUGGUAUUUCAAUCGUCCGGAUUCGAACACCACUUCCCCAGAUGGAUCUUACAUUUAAUCAUAAUUUAUAAGGCCAUCUGGUAAAAUGCCAGUCUUAGAUGUGAAUGUCAGUCUCGAACCCGAUCCGAUUUUCUCGUGUAUUGUGUAUGAUGCGAGGAGUUUUACUCCUCUCCGAUUCUGUUAUAGAUCUGGUUCGCCCGUAAUAGAUGUAAUUGUUGCCGACUCCUCGUUCAAGGCACUUUCGGAUAAUUUAUGCAAUCAAACUUUAAACCACAGGAGAGAUUUUAUAUAAAACUAAGAAAAUACUACGUAUUUAAUAUUAUGUUCAUAAUUUGUUGCUAAUAAAAAUAUUAUUUAUUUCGUAAAAUAAAUCCGAGAAACAAAUAUAACUCACUAGAGGGCGAACAGACUCUAUAUAUUAGCGGAGUGUCUUUCUUCCGUUUUAUUUUACGCUGAUCGUGAGGUAUGUGUGGUUACGUUUAAGGAAGAUGAUGCUUUAAAAGGACUUCAUCCGAUAUCCUUAUCCUGAGUAGUGGUAAGAAUGGGUAUUAAU